rnacentral:lncRNA from 1 species
UAGAAACUUUCAAACAAUAUAUAGAUGGAACUUAAAGUUUAUAUUUUUAAAAAUAAUUUUGUGUUUAUUUAUUUUGGUGGUUUCUGUAUACUAUUUUUUAAUUUAGCUUUUUGGUUUGAGAAAGGUGUAGUUUCACAUGCAAUAAAAAGAAAUAAUACAGAGCUAUGCCAUGUAUCUAUUUCCUAGUUUCCUCCAAUGAGAGUACCACCAAGAUGCUGAUGUUAAUACAAUCAAGAUAUGGAACAUUUCCAGUACCGCAAAGAUCUCUCAUGUUGCCUUUACAGGCAUAUCAAUUUCUCACUUUCCUCAUUCCCAUUUAACUCAUGGCAACCAAUAAUGUGUUCUCUAUAGUUUUGUCAUUCCAAGGAUAUUAUACACUAGUACUCCCAAAUUAUGGUUUUGAUUUCCAUGGUUUCAGUUACUCAUGGUCAACCAUGGUUUGAAAAUAUUAAAUGAAAUUUUCACAAUAAACUUUUAAUUAUAUGCCAUUAUGAAUAGUGUGAUGAAAUCUUGUGCCAUCCUGCUGCAUCCCACACAGGAC